rnacentral:rRNA from 1 species
CAGUAGCCACGGGAAUACGGAGGGUGCAAGCGUUAAUCGGAAUUACUGGGCGUAAAGCGCACGCAGGCGGUCUGACAAGUCAGAUGUGAAAUCCCCGGGCUUAACCUGGGAACUGCAUUUGAAACUGUCAGGCUGGAGUCUUGUAGAGGGGGGUGGAAUUCCAGGUGUAGCGGUGAAAUGCGUAGAGAUCUGGAGGAAUACCGGUGGCGAAGGCGGCCCCCUGGACAAAGACUGACGCUCAGGUGCGAAAGCGUGGGGAGCAAACAGGAUUAGAGACCCCUGUAGUCCCUGUCUCUUAUAC